rnacentral:lncRNA from 12 species
UAAUUCUUCAAAUCCAUGAACAUGUGCUAUGUUUUAAUUUAUUUAUAUAUUUUUUCCAUUUCUUUCCUCAAUGUCUUAUAGUUUUCAGUAUAUAGAUAUUUCAACUCCUUGAUUAAACUUAUUUCUAAGUCUUUUGUUAUAUUUGAUGUUACUAUGAAUGGGGUUGUUUUCUUUAUUUCUCUUUCAGAUAUCUCAAUAUUAGUAUAUAGAAAUGCAACGGAUUUUUGUAUACUGAUUUUGCAACUGAUUUUAUAUCAUGCAAAGGGUGCUGAGAUGCCUACCCCAGGAAGGUUGGUGUACAAGACUGUUACCUGCCUCAACCAGUCCGAAGCUUAUGGAACGGUUUGGAAUCCAGAGCAGCACCAGGCCAGAAGACUUGAUCCUCCUGUCUAUCACCCUGACUGACCACCAUCGAUAGUUAUGAAGACGUAUCAAUGGCUCCCAACAAAUAUAGACUGUAGGAAAGACAGUAGAGUAUGAUGUUGGCAAAGCAAGGUGUCUUCUGCUUAGCCUUGAAAGCAGCUAUAAAAACAACCCUGGCAACUCAAGACUGAAAUGUUUCAAAUGGAGUAGGUCAUGGACAUGUGAUGAGCCUCUUGCUGGUAAUAAUUUUCUGUUGGCUUCUGAGGGAGAGACCCAUAAACAUGGUUAAAAUUACUUUUUGGUUAUGGUUUAUGUGUGAAAGUCACAAAACUGAUUGCACUUUUGGCCAUUCUGUGGGACAGGAAGUUAAACACAAUAUUUGGAUUGUUAAAAAAUUCAGUAAGUAAUUGGAGUUCACUUAUAUAUGAUAAAAUCUGUCAAUAAGCACUAAACUUGCCAUCAAGAGAAUUUUUUUUGCAAAGUUUGGGGGAGGGGCCGAGGGAAAAGGAGAGGGAAAAUCUUAAGCAUUUUCCAUGCCCAUUGCAUGAGCCCAAUGUGGGGCUCAAUCUCACAGCCGUGAGAUUAUGACCUGAGCUGAAAUCAAGAGUUGGAUGCUUAACUGAUUGAGCCACUCAGGUGCCCCACUAUCAAGAGAAUUUUCAACGUGAAUUUCCAACUAUAAGCUGCCUAUAAAAUAAAGAUCACAUGGUAUUGAUUCA